UUUAGUUGCUGGGUAUAGACCCGAAACCAGGCGAUCUAUCCAUGAGCAGGUUGAAGGUUGGGUAACACUAACUGGAGGACCGAACCCACUGUCGUUGAAAAGCCAGGGGAUGACUUGUGGAUAGGGGUGAAAGGCUAAUCAAGCCUGGUGAUAGCUGGUUCUCCCCGAAAGCUAUUUAGGUAGCGCCUCGGACGAAUACCAUAGGGGGUAGAGCACUGUUUCGGCUAGGGGGUCAUCCCGACUUACCAAACCGAUGCAAACUCCGAAUACCUAUGAGUACUAUCCGGGAGACAGACUGCGGGUGCUAACGUCCGUAGUCAAGAGGAAAACAAUCCAGACCGCCAGCUAAGGCCCCAAAAUCAUAGUUAAGUGGGAAACGAUGUGGGAAGGCAUAGACAGCUAGGAGGUUGGCUUAGAAGCAGCCACCCUUUAAAGAAAGCGUAAUAGCUCACUAGUCGAGUCGGCCUGCGCGGAAGAUGUAACGGGGCUAAAACUAUGUGCCGAAGCUGCGGAUUUGACAUUAGUCAAGUGGUAGGGGAGCGUUCUGUAAGCCGAUGAAGGUGUAUUGAGAAGUAUGCUGGAGGUAUCAGAAGUGCGAAUGCUGACGUGAGUAACGACAAAACGGGUGAAAAACCCGUUCGCCGAAAGACCAAGGGUUCCAGUCCAACGUUAAUCGGGGCUGGGUGAGUCGACCCCUAAGGCGAGGCCGAAAGGCGUAGUCGAUGGGAAAUUGGUUAAUAUUCCAAUACUUCUGUGUAAUGCGAUGAGAGGACGGAGAAGGUUAAGUCAGCCUGGCGUUGGUUGUCCAGGUGGAAGGAUGUAGGUAUGUAUCUUAGGCAAAUCCGGGGUACUCUAUACUGAGAUCCGAUAGCAAGCUGUACUUGUACAGUGAAGUGGCUGAUACCAUGCUUCCAGGAAAAGUCUCUAAGCUUCAGUUACACAGGAAUCGUACCCGAAACCGACACAGGUGGUCAGGUCGAGUAGACCAAGGCGCUUGAGAGAACUCUGCUGAAGGAACUAGGCAAAAUGGUACCGUAACUUCGGGAGAAGGUACGCUGUUGUUGGUGAUGGAACUUGCUUCCUGAGCUGACGACAGCCGCAGAAACCAGGCCGCUGCAACUGUUUAUUAAAAACAUAGCACUCUGCAAACACGAAAGUGGACGUAUAGGGUGUGAUGCCUGCCCGGUGCUGGAAGGUUAAUUGAUGGGGUUAGCGUAAGCGAAGCUCUUGAUCGAAGCCCCAGUAAACGGCGGCCGUAACUAUAACGGUCCUAAGGUAGCGAAAUUCCUUGUCGGGUAAGUUCCGACCUGCACGAAUGGCAUAAUGAUGGCGGCGCUGUCUCCAGCAGAGGCUCAGUGAAAUCGAAAUCGCUGUGAAGAUGCAGUGUACCCGCGGCUAGACGGAAAGACCCCGUGAACCUUUACUGCAGCUUGACACUGAACUUUGACCUUACUUGUGUAGGAUAGGUGGGAGGCUUUGAAGUUGGAACGCUAGUUCCAAUGGAGCCGUCCUUGAAAUACCACCCUGGUAAUGUUGAGGUUCUAACUCUGUCCCGUUAUCCGGGACGAGGACCGUGUCUGGUGGGUAGUUUGACUGGGGCGGUCUCCUCCUAAAGAGUAACGGAGGAGUACGAAGGUGCGCUCAGCGUGGUCGGAAAUCACGCGUAGAGUAUAAAGGCAAAAGCGCGCUUAACUGCGAGACCCACAAGUCGAGCAGGUACGAAAGUAGGUCUUAGUGAUCCGGUGGUUCUGUAUGGAAGGGCCAUCGCUCAACGGAUAAAAGGUACUCUGGGGAUAACAGGCUGAUACCGCCCAAGAGUUCAUAUCGACGGCGGUGUUUGGCACCUCGAUGUCGGCUCAUCUCAUCCUGGGGCUGAAGCAGGUCCCAAGGGUAUGGCUGUUCGCCAUUUAAAGAGGUACGCGAGCUGGGUUUAGAACGUCGUGAGACAGUUCGGUCCCUAUCUACCGUGGGCGCUGGAAAUUUGAGAGGAUCUGCUCCUAGUACGAGAGGACCAGAGUGGACGAACCUCUGGUGUACCGGUUGUGACGCCAGUCGCAUCGCCGGGUAGCUAUGUUCGGAAGGGAUAACCGCUGAAAGCAUCUAAGCGGGAAGCCUACCUCAAGAUAAGAUUUCCCUAGGAAUUUAUUCCUCUAAAGAGCCGUUCGAGACUAGGACGUUGAUAGGUUGGAUGUGGAAGCAUAGUGAUAUGUGAAGCUGACCAAUACUAAUUGCUCGUGAGGCUUGACUAUACAACACCCAAGCAGUUG
rnacentral:rRNA from 1 species